GUGCUCACUUUGGCAGCAAAUAUACUAAAAUUGGAAUGAUAUAGAGAAGAUGUACAUGGUCCCUGCGCAAGGAUGACAUGCAAAUUUGCGAAGCGUUCUAUAUUUUU
ensembl:snRNA U6 U6 spliceosomal RNA